rnacentral:lncRNA from 1 species
GUCAACUGAACAUUAAAACUAUCAUGAUCGACCACUUAGACACUGUCCGGACUGUAUGAACCAUGUAGCUUGACGUUUCUAGCACCUGGUGUGGUGUAGUAGCUGGCACAACUCAUCAGCUGCCACCCGAGGUUAAUCCUACAACGAUCAUCUGGUCUUAUGACCACGGACCUCCUGUCAUUCCCACGCAUGAAUAACCUUUCUCUACAUGAGAAAGAGUCAUCACGGAAUAUCAAGAUCAAAAUGACAGUAGAGUCUGACCAUGUUCAUACUUUACCAACCAUCACCAAUCUUUGAGACAUUCCUC